AAGAACUAUAGAUCUAAGUUAUGAAAUAUUGCUGACUUUCAGUUAUACAUAUUGUUCAUGACAUUUCGAAACUUCAGUCGGAUUACUAGGAUGUGAUCAUAUGAUAUCAUAUAUUUACAUUUUGCAAAAAAAACGCAUAAUAGUGAUAAAUGUUUGAACACUUGCGAAUGAGGUAAAUAGCAAAUGGAUAUAACUAUAUUGAUAUAUGACCGUAACUGGAAUGUGUAAAACAAAUAGUAGAACAACAUCAUCCUUUCAUAUACUGAUGACAAUUCAAUGUGUUAUUACUGACGUGGAUUUUAAAAAUUCAAAACUGUGCUGUCAACAUUUUUCAGAAUUUCUUUGCAUUGUAAGAACUGUUCAGUAUUUAGGCGUAGUAUUAUAGAAAUUGAAAGCUAUGUGAAACACAUUCGUUUGAUAUGCAUCAACUUUAAAAUACACGAGGAGAUAAAUGCAAAAUCUGUGAAUAACUAAUGCUAAUAUACUGGAAAAGCACCGAUUGUUUGUCCGCACAUCGAGACUUGUGCUAUUUUUAGAUAGCAGACAUUGUCAGUGACGUCACAGAUCCUUACAUACGAGACAGCGCUAUGUAUAUAGACAAUCAAGCAUCUGAUUGAGGUUGAUGAUUCAUAUACAGAAUGAAAGGUAGCAAGAGGGCAUGUAUCUGUACAGACAAUAUGAUAACAUAAGGGGUUUGGAGUGUAUACCAGUAAUAAUGUUGGAAGUUUUAAGACAGACAUUGUUAUUUCUGUUGACAAGGGAAGUGGGUACGAGCAGAAAGUUAACAGACUGCGAGAAAGGAAUUGAACGACCAUUCCAGUUCUUCCAAUAACAGCCUGGAUGAUACAAGCGCUUUUGUUAUUGAUUGAUAUAUGGAAAUAUUAUUGAAUCUGCAAAAGUGACUGUUUCUGUUUAAGCUCUGACAGACUCAGUGAAAAUGAUGAGAACCUAACACAAGGAUUUCCAUAAACGUUUUUUUUCUAAAUACGAAAAAAUGUACUACAUGUAUGAAUUUAAUGUACUAUGUAAAAUAACUGCAUUUA